AUUGAACGCUGGCGGCAUGCCUUACACAUGCAAGUCGAACGGUAACAGGUCUUCGGAUGCUGACGAGUGGCGAACGGGUGAGUAAUACAUCGGAACGUGCCUAGUAGUGGGGGAUAACUACUCGAAAGAGUGGCCAAUACCGCAUGAGAUCUACGGAUGAAAGCAGGGGAUCGCAAGACCUUGUGCUACUAGAGCGGCCGAUGGCAGAUUAGGUAGUUGGUGGGAUAAAAGCUUACCAAGCCGACAAUCUGUAGCUGGUCUGAGAGGACGAUCAGCCACACUGGGACUGAGACACGGCCCAGACUCCUACGGAAGGCAGCAGUGGGGAAUUUUGGACAAUGGGCGCAAGCCUGAUCCAGCAAUGCCGCGUGCAGGAUGAAGGCCUUCGGGUUGUAAACUGCUUUUGUACGGAACGAAAAGCCCUGGGUUAGUACCCUGGGGUCAUGACGGUACCGUAAGAAUAAGCACCGGCUAACUACGUGCCAGCCGCCGCCGUAAUAC
rnacentral:rRNA from 1 species